rnacentral:piRNA from 1 species
UGGAGACUUAAAAGCCAUGACCAAGGUUCU